rnacentral:ncRNA from 12 species
UUAAUAUUACAAUUUAAAGGUUGCAAGCUGUUUGCAUUAAAAAGGAAACAGGUUAAAGUCCUGUGCGGUCCCGCCGCCGUAAGAUGGAGUAUCUUUUUUGUUAUGCCACUAAAGAGUUUCUUUGGGAAGGUGAAAAGGUGCAAUGAAAUCAAGCCGGAAUAUUUGCCUUUAAAUUUUGCUAGUAU